UAAGUAUAAGCAACUAUACGGUGAAGCUGCGAAUGGCUCAUUAAAUCAGUUAUCGUUUAUUUGAUAGUACCCUACUACAUGGAUAACCGUGGUAAUUCUAGAGCUAAUACAUGCUACCAACCCCGACUUCGGAAGGGGUGUAUUUAUUAGAUAAAAAACCAAUGCCCUCCGGGGCUCCUUGGCGAAUCAUGAUAACUCAACGAAUCGCAUGGCCUUGCGCCGGCGAUGGUUCAUUCAAAUUUCUGCCCUAUCAACUUUCGAUGGUAGGAUAGUGGCCUACCAUGGUCUCAACGGGUAACGGGGAAUUAGGGUUCGACUCCGGAGAGGGAGCCUGAGAAACGGCUACCACAUCCAAGGAAGGCAGCAGGCGCGCAAAUUACCCAAUCCCGACGCGGGGAGGUAGUGACAAUAAAUACUGAUACAGGGCUCUUUUGGGUCUUGUAAUUGGAAUGAGUACAAUUUAAAUCCCUUAACGAGGAACAAUUGGAGGGCAAGUCUGGUGCCAGCAGCCGCGGUAAUUCCAGCUCCAAUAGCGUAUAUUAAAGUUGUUGCAGUUAAAAAGCUCGUAGUUGAACCUUGGGCCUGGCUGGCCGGUCCGCCUCACCGCGUGUACUGGUCCGGCCGGGCCUUUCCUUCUGGGGAGCCGCAUGGCCUUCACUGGCCGUGUCGGGGAACCAGGACUUUUACUUUGAAAAAAUUAGAGUGUUCAAAGCAGGCCUUUGCUCGGAUACAUUAGCAUGGAAUAAUAGAAUAGGACGCGUGGUUCUAUUUUGUUGGUUUCUAGGACCGCCGUAAUGAUA
rnacentral:rRNA from 1 species